rfam:Canis lupus familiaris chromosome 7, whole genome shotgun sequence.
AUCACUUCUCGGCCUUUUGGCUAAGAUUAUGUGUAGUAUCUGUUCUUAUCAGUUUAAUAUCUGGUACAUCCUUUAUCCAAGGACAAUAUAUUAAAUGGAUUUUUGGAAUUAGGAGACAGAAUAGGAGCUUGCUCUGUUUACUCCACACAUCGAUCUGGUAUUGCAGUAUUUCCAGGAAUGGUGCACCCUCC